rnacentral:rRNA from 1 species
UUCGGUGGUUCGGCGCUAUGGAACCACCCGUUCUCAUUCCGAACACGGAAGUGAAACGUAGUAGCGGCGAUGAUAGUCAUUAAGUUUGGCAAAAGUAGCUAACCGCCGGAA